rnacentral:tRNA from 1 species
GCCCGGAUGGCGGAAUCGGCAGACGCAACAGACUUAAAAUCUGUCGCCCACAAGGCUUACGGGUUCAAGUCCCGUUCCGGGUA